rnacentral:lncRNA from 1 species
AGUGAAAGGAUCCCAUCAUCAAAAUACAUGCAAAGAAAGGAAGAGUGAAGGAAUUCAUAACACCAUGAGAGCUGCAUGUUCAACUCAUGUCACUUCUGUCACCCUGCUGAAUGCCGUGUAACACUGCCAACGCAUGGAAGUACUGACUGCUGGCAUCUGCAAGACUGGAAGGAAAGGAAGACCUGGACACAUUGACUACAUCUAAACUGUUAAACAAAAUUAGUCAGGGAAUUUUCCUGGAGGCCAGCUGGCAUGAAAGAGCUUGAAUCCACACAGAUAAACUCUCUUGCCCUCCAAAUCAUGGUGGACACAUCCAAAAUAUCUAUUGGAGAUGGUGCCUGACUUGGGUCAAUACCCAAGCUGUGCUUUGGCAUUUUCUGGAAGAGCAUUAGCAGGCUUGCACCAAAACCAUGCCAGGGACCAUUUCAGUGGUAUGGAUGGUUUCAGGCCCAUGCCUUGCUGGUCUUGUUUAGUUUAUUUAAUGUCAGAGGGAAACCUCAGUAAUUCUGGCAGGAGUCAACAGGAAACCCCUUCUGGCCUCAGCAACCAGAAGCUGCUGAGAAGUAUAAUCAUUAGGUUGUUCACCUCCUUCACAUUUGGAUUCUUUUCCUCAUGUUAUUUUUUACCAAAUGAGCACUGAAAUUUUUUGAAAUCUCAUAAAGUAAUAAAAUCAGGUUGUUGCCUGUGCAAAACUUGUUGGUUUUGAAUUACCAAGAGAUUUCUCACACAAGCUAAGCUUCUGUAAAAGCCAGCUUCAGCUCUCCUCCCUGAUGAAGGGUCUCCUAUGGCUCUGAGCAAGUUGCUAAGAGCUUGUGUGACCAGUGCCCUGUUUGGACACAGGGGUGAAAAGCAAUGAGGUGUUGAGAUACAAACACACCAUUUGCUUGAGGUCACAUAAGCAUGCUGAACUGAUGUGAACAUAAAAUUCUCCUUGAUUUCUGUGGCAAUUUCAUAUGUCUGGGAGGGCAAUUUAUUUUAAACCCUGCAAAAAGGACAUGAGUACGUUGUUAUAUCAGGAUCUUUUCAAGGUCAGAGCUCUGGGGCUGUCUUUGGAUAAGCCUGAUAUGUCCUUCAUACAGUGUGAGGUAGUGGAGAACCCGUGCUCUGUGUUUCUAGAGCUAACUCUGUGCAAUGGUACCCUGAUUAUCCUAUGGAACACUCUACUUCACAGUUUUGUGUUAUACUUCUGCCUGCAGCAAAAUAUAAAUCAGAAUCAGUGGCUCUUCUCAGACCUACUGAGACCAGUGCAUCAGUUAAGACAAGUACUAUGCAUAUGCAUGGCCAAACACUUCUACCUUGCUCCCUAUCACUGCAGAAGGAUUGGGAUAACUCUUCUGUUUGCACCAGAUCAGAGGCAAACAUGUGAGUUCUUAGAAGAAAAUACUCCUGAACACUCAGCAGUUGUUGAAGUUUACCUCUGA